rnacentral:rRNA from 1 species
UAGUCAUAUGCUUGUCUCAAAGAUUAAGCCAUGCAUGUCUAGUAUAGCAAUUAUACCGUGAAACUGCGAAUGGCUCAUUAAAUCAGUUAUCGUUUAUUUGAUAGUACCUUACCACUUGGAUAACCGUGGUAAUUCUAGAGCUAAUACAUGCUAAAAACCCCGACUUCGGAAGGGGUGUGUUUAUUAGAUAAAAAACCAAUGCCCUUCGGGGCUCUUUGGUGAUUCAUGAUAACCUAACGGAUCGCAUGGCCUUGCGCCGGCGACGGUUCAUUCAAAUUUCUGCCCUAUCAACUUUCGAUGGUAAGGUAUUGGCUUACCAUGGUUUCAACGGGUAACGGGGAAUGGGGCGGGGGCGGCGGGCCGGGCGCGGGGCGCGGCGGGCG